AUUGAACGCUGGCGGCAGGCCUAACACACGCAAGUCGAGUGAGCGGCGGACGGGUGAGUAAUGUAUGGGGACUGCCCGAUAGAGGGGGCUAACCACUGGAAACGGUAGCUAAUACCGCAUACUAUCGGAUAAACAAUAUGGGAUUGUCUAGUAGGUGAGGUAAUGGCUAACCAGGGCAACGAUCCCUAGCUGGUCUGAGAGGAUGAUCAGCCACACUGGGACUGAGACACGGCCCAGACUCCUACGGAGGCAGCAGUGGGGAAUAUUGCACAAUGGGCGCAAGCCUGAUGCAGCCAUGCCGCGUGGAUGAAGAAGGCCCUAGGGUUGUAAAGUACUUUCAGUCGGGAGGCGUUGCCGACAGAAGAAGCACCGGCUAACUCCGUGCCAGCAGCCGCGGUAAUUC
rnacentral:rRNA from 1 species